rnacentral:rRNA from 1 species
UCUGACCUCGAAUCAGGUGGGACUACCCGCUGAACUUAAGCUA